UACAGAGGUCUCAAGCGUUGUUCGGAUUCAUUGGGCGUAAAGGGUGUGUAGGUGGCGCCGUUAGUCGGGUGUGAAAUUUCGGAGCUUAACUCCGAAACUGCAUUCGAUACUGCGGUGCUUGAGGACUGGAGAGGAGACUGGAAUUCAUGGUGUAGCAGUGAAAUGCGUAGAGAUCAUGAGGAAGACCAGUGGCGAAGGCAGGUCUCUGGACAGUUCCUGACACUGAGACACGAAGGCCAGGGGAGCAAACGGG
rnacentral:rRNA from 1 species